rfam:Microvirga vignae strain BR3299 T20BR3299_1_(paired)_contig_32, whole genome shotgun sequence.
GGGCGCGUAGCUCAGCGGGAGAGCAUUCGCUUCACACGCGAAGGGUCACAGGUUCAAUCCCUGUCGCGCCCA